CCCCCACAGCAUAGCUACUGUAUAUUCCUAACGUUAACAAUCCGGUUUUUUUCACGUUUUCUUGCAGAUACCUUGACCAGAGCAUAACCGGUUAUCUUCACCCAAGAGACCUACUGUUGGUCAAUCGUUUUGGCUUUAAAGGUAAAUGCAUUGUUAGUCACAAUGUCUAGUUACUGGGCCAAAAGGAAAAUAAUAUUUUGAGAUGGACAAACAGGACAUUCACUUCACUACAUGCUAAUGAAGUUGGAUCGAUUCCAGAAAACCAGGAAAAUGUUGAGCCAUCUGUAGACUUCAGAGCUGUUGUUUGUUUAUGUAGAUUUCCAGAGACUCCAGAAUGAAAACCAAGCCCUGAAGGAAUGCAAUGCACAAGCAGCUUUGGAUGACAGCCGCUCACUUAAACAGCAGGUGAAGCAAGUAGGGACAAUGUUGAAGACGUUUGCUCUAACUGGGCAAUCAGGUGCGUUACCUGAAAGGAGCAUCUGACCGUGAAGGCAGAAAAAGCCGCACAGCUGAGAAAGACCCACAGCCGACCCCUUAAACCUAGGCUGACACCCCAGCAUCACUGAACUGGAACACUUUCUUUAUCCUGCAGUCAGUAACAUCAAGAAGCCAGAAGUGCCAGACUACACUCACCAAAUCCACCCUGUUCACUGUUUUUUUUAUUUUUAUUUUAACUUAUGCAUUGGCUUAUUUCAUUCCGUCAGUGCUUAACGAUUUGCUUAACGUUUGUAAAUCCUAUUUCAUACCUGUUACUUGAUAUUGCACGUUAACUAGUACCAAAAUUCUACUUUCAUUCCAUCAGUGUGCUUAACUGUUAUUCUAUUAAUAAUAGCGUGGAAAUACUAUUUCAUACCUCUGAUACUUGAUAUUGCACAUUACCUGGUACCAAAUAUUCUACUUACUCUGUUUUUAACAUCAGCAUUUUUCAUUCCGUCACAGUGCUUAACUGUUAUUCUAUUGUUAAAUAUAGCUUGUAAAUCCUUGCAGUUAUAAUGGUCUGUUCUACUACUGUUAAACACAACUUGAUAUAUAUCAAGUUUUGUUUAUCACAGAUACAAGAGACGCAGAUCUUAUUGCAGCACGGUGUAAAUCUUGUGCUCCAGGUCAGCAAUGGCAUUAUAAUGGUCUAUUCUACUCUAGAGCUUUACUUUAAAUUAUUACCACUUUUCCUAUUGUUAGAAAUUGCUUGAAAAUGUGAUGUUAUACCUCGAUUUAUUUGGUAUCCUGCACAUUCUUUGGUACCAAAUAUCCUCAUUACUUAUGUUUACUGGUAAUUAUUUUCAUCCCUGAGCUGACCUCUUUAUAUUAUUAACAAUUAUUGUGUUUGUGUUAUAAUUUUCCAAAACUCAAAAAUAAUCAGUCCGGAAGGAUUAGGAUAGAGCAACUGUCUGUGUCCACCACUUGUAAAACCAUUCCCUUUUUGGGGGUUGUCUUUCUGUAGCUUCUCCAGUGCACCUGUUGUCACUUUCAUUCACACCAAACGUGCAAUUGAUUCACAAUCGCUUAUGCUUCCUAACUGGCCAGAUUGAUUUCCCUGAAGUUUAAUUGAUUUGUUGUUAUACUGUGAUGAUUACGCGUUGCAGUGUAUUUCCUAUUGAAUAUAACAUUUAAAUGAUUUGCACAUCAUUGCAUUCUGUUUUUCUUUACAUUUUACACAGUUACUCAACUUUUCUAGAUACAUG
ensembl:lncRNA